ACUCAGAUACAGCUCAAUCGGUAGAGUAUGAGGCUCUUAAUCUCAGGUUGUGGGUUCGAGCCCCACGUUGGGUG